AUUCUCCUAGUGGCCUCGGGGGGAAUUGCCCUGAGACGACGUUAUUCAUUUAAACAUCACAAUGCGCUUGCAAUGCGGAUUAUUUCCCAGUUGACCAGCGAUUCUAAAACGUUUUACUUCAAGUGCUGAAUCACCGGGGGGGCUCCUGAGUUUCUGCAUGGGAUCCUUAUAGUGAAGGCUUGUUGGCCCGUCUAGCAAAAACCCGACCCCAGCUGCACUUUAGAAAGGAAUGGGCAAGCUGGAGCGGCUGGUCUGUGUAACGCGAAGUUGUGGUCUCUGUGAGUACACGAACCUGCACCACCAGAAACCCAAUCUGAGGACCAUGUGGAGACAAUACAAGAUCUGCAACACUAAGGAGUGCCCUCCUGGCUCAGAAGAUUUCCGAGAGAUGCAAGGUGCUGCUUUCAAUGACAGCUGGUGACAUGAAACUCCUUCUGAUGGACUACCUUUUAUGGAGGUUUGUGAGACAACUCACAUUACAGUUUUUUGAUAUCUGUCAUGGUUGAAUUUAGUGAAAGCAAGGAAGGCAAAGCAGGAGUGCUGGAGUCCCAAAAUAUUAAAUUUUCAACAAAAGGCAAACAAACAAAGUAAAGAAAAACUGAAAUAAACCAACAACUGCAAAUAAAUACCUGUUGAUAUAAAUGACAUGAAACUGACACGAACAAACAAUGGACCAACAAGAACGGAUAGUGACCAAGGAGCUAAAUACACAGAGUGACGAGACAACAAAGAACACCUGGGCAAGACGAGUGGCUGAAGGGAACUGAUUAGUCCACUAAGGAAGUAGGGUCCUGCGAACAGGUGGACACAGCUAACAGAAUGAGCAUGCAAGACAUGGAAAAUAUGGAACAUAGCAUGUAAAAACUCAAUAAACCAAAACAGUCCAUGACAGUUCCCCAUCAAGGAACGGAUUCCAGAUGUUUUACACACACAC